CAACUACUCCCUCUGUUCCAAAUUUCUUGUCUUAGAUUUGUCUAGAUACGGAUGUAUCUAAUACUAAAAUGUGACUUGAUACAUCUGUAUCUAGACAAAUCUAAGACAAGAAUUUUGGGACGGAAGGAGUACUUU
rnacentral:pre_miRNA from 1 species